AUUGAACGCUGGCGGCAUGCUUUACACAUGCAAGUCGAACGGCAGCACGGGUGCUUGCACCUGGUGGCGAGUGGCGAACGGGUGAGUAAUGCAUCGGAACGUGCCCAUGAGUGGGGGAUAGCCCGGCGAAAGCCGGAUUAAUACCGCAUACGCCCUUAGGGGGAAAGCGGGGGAGUCUUCGGACCUCGCGCUAUUGGAGCGGCCGAUGUCGGAUUAGCUAGUAGGUGAGGUAAAGGCUCACCUAGGCGACGAUCCGUAGCUGGUCUGAGAGGAUGAUCAGCCACACUGGGACUGAGACACGGCCCAGACUCCUACGGGAGGCAGCAGUGGGGAAUUUUGGACAAUGGGCGCAAGCCUGAUCCAGCCAUGCCGCGUGAGUGAAGAAGGCCUUCGGUUGUAAAGACUCUUUCUAGGUGGAAAGAAAGUAAGACGCUGUUUAAUAGUAUGGCGUUGAUGACGGUACACCAGAAGAAG
rnacentral:rRNA from 1 species